AAAUAGAACUUUGCAGAGAGAGUUAAGAGGGCGUGAAACCGUUAAUUGGCAAACGAAUCGGAGCCACGAAGUCGGUUCGCGGGCUUAAGUUCAGGCGGCCUCGAGAGGAGUCGUUGUAUUCUUAAGCCCAUGUAACUGUACACUGCAACCAGUUAGACAAUUGGAGGUGGGCCAAGGCGGCCAGAGGCUUCGGCUUCUGGUCUCCGAAGCGCCUGUCCACUCGGAUCUGUAGUAGGAGCGGCAACUUCGGUUGUUUAGGUCCUGCUGAAUUCGCGGUGGGUGAACUACCCCCAAAUACUGACUGGCUAAAUGAAAGACGCCCAAGUGCGUAGCAAUGCGGCGCUUGCAUUGUGGGCUACAUAAGGAACCGUGGGUUCUAAGCUUGGCAUUUUUGAAUUUGGACUUGCUAGCUACCAGUGGGGCAACUCCUGGUGCUAGUAUAGCUUCAUCUAAUCGGAUGUCGACUUGAGCUGGCGUAGUUUUCUUAUGCUACGAUGGGCUUGCAAUGUAUGGCGUGCGGCACUAGCAAUUGGCAGUGAGUAGGUCGGCUUUCCGAACGACCCGUCUUGAAACACGGACCAAGGAGUCUAAUUAGGCAUCGAGUCGAUCGGUCUUGAAUAGGCCAGACUGGUGGGUGAAAACUCAUCGAUUGAAGGCGUAGAGAAAUCAAAUCAUGUGAUCAUGGCUAGCUCAACAGCUUCCAUGCGCAACAUGUGCCUGUUCGUAUAGCAAUGUUAGCAAUAACUUGCUGGGCGGAGCAAAGAGAUACCUGAUUGGUACCCGAAAGAUGGUGAACUAUGCCUGGGCAAAUUGAAGCCAGAGGAAACUCUGGUGGAGGAUUGUAGCGAUUCUGACGUGCAAAUCGAUCGUCAGACCUGGGUAUAGGGGCGAAAGACUAAUCGAACCAUC
rnacentral:rRNA from 1 species